GGAUUUAGCUCAGCUGGAGAGCAUCUGCCUACAAGCAGAGGUCAGCGUUCGAUCCCGUUAACUCCCA
rnacentral:tRNA from 1 species